rnacentral:rRNA from 1 species
GAUGAACGCUGACAGAAUGCUUAACACAUGCAAGUCUACUUGAAUUUGGGUUUUUAACUUAGGUUUGGGUGGCGGACGGGUGAGUAACGCGUAAAGAACUUGCCUCACAGCUAGGGACAACAUUUAGAAAUGAAUGCUAAUACCUAAUAUUAUGAUAAUAGGGCAUCCUAUAAUUAUGAAAGCUAUAUGCGCUGUGAGAGAGCUUUGCGUCCCAUUAGCUAGUUGGAGAGGUAACAGCUCACCAAGGCGAUGAUGGGUAGCCGGCCUGAGAGGGUGAUCGGCCACAAGGGGACUGAGACACGGCCCUUACUCCUACGGGAGGCAGCAGUGGGGAAUAUUGGACAAUGGACCGAGAGUCUGAUCCAGCAAUUCUGUGUGCACGAUGAAGUUUUUCGGAAUGUAAAGUGCUUUCAGUUGGGAAGAAAGAAAUGACGGUACCAACAGAAGAAGUGACGGCUAAAUACGUGCCAGCAGCCGCGGUAAUACGUAUGUCACGAGCGUUAUCCGGAUUUAUUGGGCGUAAAGCGCGUCUAGGUGGUUAUAUAAGUCUGAUGUGAAAAUGCAGGGCUCAACUCUGUAUUGCGUUGGAAACUGUAUAACUAGAGUACUGGAGAGGUAAGCGGAACUACAAGUGUAGAGGUGAAAUUCGUAGAUAUUUGUAGGAAUGCCGAUGGGGAAGCCAGCUUACUGGACAGAUACUGACGCUGAAGCGCGAAAGCGUGGGUAGCAAACAGG